GUGCUUGCUUUGGCAGCACAUAUAUUAAAAUUGGAAAGAUACAGAGAAGAUUAGCAUGGCCCCUGAGCAAGGAUGACAUGCAAAUUCAUGAAGCGUUCCAUAUUUUU
rnacentral:snRNA from 1 species